AGCUCUUUGCCCAUUUAGGUAGUAUACUUGAAUUUCUAGACUCACUUGUUGGACAAGAAAUAUAUACAAUUCUAGUUUGUGAAUAAACCCCCUUUCACAAUUUCUCUAACUCAGGCAUCUCUUCACAACACUUAAUUGUUAGCACAGAAAAUAUUUUUCACCAGCUUAUGUUUUACUUCACCGUAAUCUCAAUAGAUUCUUAAUGACCUUUACAAACCCACUUGUGUGACUUCUAUUUGUUUUUGUAAUAAUACUUAGCUCUUCUCAAGUUCAGAAUGCUUUAUAAUCAAUAUCUAUUUAACCUUGCCGCACCUCCUUGACAGAGGUAAGUAAAAUCAUCCAUUGUAUAAAUUUGGAAAAGCUGGGUCUCACAGUAUCCAACAAUGGCAUUUCAUUUGAUUCUAGGUCUGAUAGUUAUUCAAACAUGCAAUCUAUAAUGCUUGCUCACCAGCAACCAAAUCCCUUCAGAUGUUUCUUGUUUGCUUUAUGGACUCAUUCAAACCGUUUUAAGUCAUCUUGUCUCCUUUCUACAGAUGGAGAAGCUGAUCUAUUGAGGUUAAAAGAAUUCCCAAAGCCCUAGAAGGAGUCAUUAUCAGAGGGGACCCAACCAUGUUCAGUGUUAGAUCACACCUCUCCCUUUAGAGAAAAGAAAAUAUGGUGCUAGAUGCAUGUUCAUGAAAGAGUGCUCUGUCCUGCUGUCUCCAAGUAAAGCCAGUGGCUAACCUUCUUGCAUCUUUACAAGGCGGGAGACAUGACGCUAAGAGCAGCCCAGUGCCAGAAGGCAAGGAGCUCACUGGUAUCAGAUUUGUUUGCUUCCCAGCAGAAAAUGAUAGUGAAGUAAAGGGAAGCCGCAAGAGCGGUCACACACCCCUCCCCAGAAGCGCGUAUGCCUCAUUUCCAGUGCCUGGAGCAGCUGGUGGAGAGAAUUCCCUCGAGUACAUCUGAUAGUUCUGUGGAAGUUCCUAACUGAGGGAAAGUCAGCCGUGGCUGGGAAAAAGGAAGACUGGUGACAGAAACCAUCUUGAACAAAGCAUCUACCUUGCUGGAGUGGUCACUUGGUCUCUGGGUGAGAUACUUGGGAGCUGUGCAGGAUGAUCUCAAGGAGCCUCUCAGCUGUGGAAUUCCCUAUCAGCAGAGACAGGGAACCAAGGUGAACACACCAGACGGACCAAGAACCCUGAACUCUCUGACCAGGAACCAUCAACAGGAACCUAGAGCCACUGCUCAGGAACUCGCCAUCAGGAACAGCUCCGCCAAAGACAGGAUCAGGAACGAUGUAGAUUCCUGCAGAAGUGGAGUCCAGUUGAAGAGACACAGAUGGGAUUUGGGGGCAAAGGAGCUGCAGAACUGGCAAGACUGGAGCAGGACAAAAAGUAACAAGUGGCAAGAUUCAGGAGUUGGAUGUACUAUAAAUGCGAUCCACUCAAAUCAUUAGUGUGCGUAUGGCGAUCACAUGGCAAGAUUGUAUAAUCAUCCCUGAGGUUUUAAAAUGGGUCCUUCCAUAUCCUUUUGAAUAAUGCCCAUUUAUCUGUUUGAAAUUACAUCAAUGUUAAUGGACAGUUUUCCUUUUGAGGUGCCUGACACAAGAAGAAUGGUGAACAUCUCUUUAUCUUAAAGCACUUCACAAAAGUACUGAGGUAAUC